rnacentral:rRNA from 1 species
AGUGAACGCUGGCGGUAGGCCUAACACAUGCAAGUCGAACGGCAGCACAGUAAGAGCUUGCUCUUACGGGUGGCGAGUGGCGGACGGGUGAGGAAUACAUCGGAAUCUACUUUUUCGUGGGGGAUAACGUAGGGAAACUUACGCUAAUACCUCAUACGACCUACGGCUGAAAUCAGGGGAUCUUCGGACCUUGCGCGAUUGAAUGAGCCGAUGUCGGAUUAGCUAGUUGGCGGGGUAAAGGCCCACCAAGGCGACGAUCCGUAGCUGAUCUGAGAGGAUGAUCAGCCACACUGGAACUGAGACACGGUCCAGACUCCUACGGGAGGCAGCAGUAGGGAAUAUUGGGCAAUGGGCGCAAGCCUGAUCCAGCCAUACCGCGUGAGUGAAGAAGGCCUUCGGGUUGUAAAGCCCUUUUGUUGGGAAAGAAAAGCAGCAUGUUAAUACCCCGCUGUUCUGACGGUACCCAAAGAAUAAGCACCGGCUAACUUCGUG